rnacentral:rRNA from 1 species
CCGGCCUAAGAUGAAGUCCGUCCCCGCGCGAGAGCGCGAGGGAGCCCCAGAAACGGGAGCCUGCGGCUUAAUUUGACUCAACACGGGGAAACUCACCGGGUCCAGACACAAUGAGGAUUGACAGAUUGAGAGCUCUUUCUUGAUUUUGUGGGUGGUGGUGCAUGGCCGUUCUUAGUUGGUGGAGUGAUUUGUCUGCUUAAUUGCGAUAACGAACGAGACCUUAACCUGCUAAAUAGCCCGUAUUGCUUUGGCAGUACGCCGGCUUCUUAGAGGGACUAUCGGCUCAAGCCGAUGGAAGUUUGAGGCAAUAACAGGUUGACCUGACCUUCACAGGCCUGUCACAGUGGGCCUCGUUAAAGAUAUCCGCUAGUCCAGCGACUUAGCCUCCGCGGGGAAGCCCCCCAAUGUCGGGCGGAGGAGGGCCACGCGGCCCGUGUCGCGGGCGACACCACCUGGUACAGGGGACGCCGAGAGGCCAACCCUGUGGCGAGCCUGGGUAGCGCCAGGCCGUCGCAACGCGCGGUAAGGGGUGGGCCGUCCUGCUGCGGCGGGCGGCUUAAGGUACGUGCUAAUCCCGUGGGAGGAGAACCACGCCUCUGUGUGAAGGCCCGACAAGCCGAGACACAGGGGGGCCGCCGGCGCCGGCGGCCGGCGACUGUAUGCUGUGAUGCCCUUAGAUGCUCUGGGCCGCACGCGCGCUACACUGACGGAGCCAGCGAGUACUCCCUUGG